GUAUGAUCGGAUUUUUCCGGCAGCCGUAUGUGGAGAAGUAGGUCGUCGUCGACUUGUAUCAUGCAGUUUUCUAGUACUAGCGGUAGAGAAAUUAUAGAGUAGCGAGUGGACUAAAGAAGGCUCAAGUAAACAGUGUGUGCUUGUACAACUGCAGACAAACGAACCUAAAGGUGCGGAACUCUGUCACAGAAGGCCCAAUGAGAACUUGAAGAUAUGACUACUCUCCUAUUGACUAUCAAACAUUUUGAAGAAAGUAAAACCAGCAGGAUAGAUAAAAGCAUCAAGCAAGAGCACCAUAAUCGAUUAAAAGCAAACAUGCUGGAGAGUUGCCCUUCGCCAAUAAUACAAGAACACGUAGCAGGCUGCUGUAGCAGACACGUGGAAGUCACAAGCUGAAGAAGUGGGGGCUGAACGGCUAAAGUGAAGAUGCUAUGGACCUCCAGUAUUGAGUACAGAAGGGUUGAUGAACCUCCUUCUCAGGUCGCUGGCAAACCUGCUUGGUUCCUCCCAUUGGCUGCAAGUACCAAGUACGUUUUCCUCUUUAUCACACUGACUGAUGCAAAUAAUGAAAUUUGAGGGGGAGAUAGAGGUGUCUACUAGAUGGGUGGUCCCCCUCAACUUGCAUUGUUCAUUACUGUUUGGUAUUAUGGGCCUUCGUCUAAGAUAAUGGUCUAACACUGGAUCCCAGCUUAUAAUUCUAUAUCUGUGUGAAGAGUGACAUGGAAAUUUUUCAUGGUAGUGAUAAUUUGUCUUUAGAAUGAGAGACUUUGUACCAGUGUCAAUACCAAGUUUUUGUUUAUUGAACAGGCUUCAACUUUA